AGGGUGCUCACCACGGUCGAUCGGGGGCCCACCGUCCCUGCAGCUUCACCUAUGUGCGCUUCUGCAGGGAUCCCGUGCCAAGCUCGUUUGCCUCAACCAUGUCUCUCUUCGUCAUGUGUGGUGGCCAAAAGGCCCGCUUUACUGGAAGCGAAGCGGAGAAAUAGGACAAGCCGUCUGCGCUGUCGUCGCCUACACCAUGCGCGGACGUAGAGACGAAUGAGAAGAGGUCGUCGCCGACAUCCUUGCCCCUCAGUUCCCACAACAGGAGCCCAUUUUUUUAUGAGGAGAGUUGGUUUAGUUGAUGGUUUCUCAUUCCCAUGUCAGUGGAGUUGUUCCUGGGCAUUCAUUUCAGUGAAAUCCAUUUCAGUUGAGGGCAUGCAAUGUAUGCAUUCUAUCAUAUGAGAUGUUCUUUCAGCUUAUCUGCCUACAAUAAUUGCAGUCACGUUAGAUGUUUUUCAGUUUAUCUGACCGUACAAUACUUGCAUUCCUAGCAUUCUGAUAUGUUAUUCAAAACUUAUGCGCGUUUC